AUUGAACGCUGGCGGCAGGCCUAACACAUGCAAGUCGAACGGUAACAGGAAGCAGCUUGCUGCCUCGCUGACGAGUGGCGGACGGGUGAGUAAUGUCUGGGAAACUGCCUGAUGGAGGGGGAUAACUACUGGAAACGGUAGCUAAUACCGCAUAAUGUCGCAAGACCAAAGGGGGGGACCUUCGGGCCUCUUGCCAUCGGAUGUGCCCAGAUGGGAUUAGCUUGUUGGUGGGGUAACGGCUCACCAAGGCGACGAUCCCUAGCUGGUCUGAGAGGAUGACCAGCCACACUGGAACUGAGACACGGUCCAGACUCCUACGGGGGGCAGCAGUGGGGAAUAUUGCACAAUGGGCGCAAGCCUGAUGCAGCCAUGCCGCGUGUAUGAAGAAGGCCUUCGGGUUGUAAAGUACUUUCAGCGGGGAGGAAGGGAGUAAAAUUAAUACCUUUGCUCAUUGACGUUACCCGCAGAAGAAGCACCGGCUAACUCCGUGCCAGCCGCCGCCGUAA
rnacentral:rRNA from 1 species